rnacentral:tRNA from 1 species
GGAGGGCUGGCCGAGUGGUCGAAGGCGCUUGAUUCGAAAUCAAGUAUACCGGCAACGGUAUCGUGGGUUCGAAUCCCACGCUCUCCG